UAGAUUAAUUAUAGUAACCGAAUACCGAAAUAACCCAAUAUUACACUAGGUACUAUAAACUAAUUCCAAAAGAUGGCGAAAUAUGAACAUUUGUUGGUGGGCGAAGAGUUAAAUAUGACUUUUUAGUAUUUUAAUUAUUAAACGAUUUAUACCAGGUUUUAAAUAUUAUAUUAAUAAAAUUGGCCCGAGUACGUUAUUAAAUGCAACGCAUCGAUAUUUCA